UACAGAGGAGCCAAGCGUUGUCCGGAUUGACUGGCGAGAAGCACGCAGGCGGCACCGCGCGUGGGGUGUGAAAUCUGGCCGCUUAACGGCCAGGCGCAUCCCAUACGGCGGAGCUGGAGCGAUACAGAGGUCGAUGGAAUUGCCGGUGUAGUGGUGAAAUGCGCAGAUAUCAGGAGGAACACCAAUGGCGAAGGCAGCUCGCUGGGACGGUACUGACGCUGAGGCGCGAAAGCGUGGGGAGCAAACAGG
rnacentral:rRNA from 1 species